UACUCUAAGUUCUUCUUGGUGCUGAGAAUAGAAAAGACACAGAUUCAGAAGAACAGACCCUCCCUUUUCCAGUGCCUUCGGAAAGAUUGCCGCUCCGUAGAAUGAGUCCUUUCUCCUCCACCCUUAAUCUACAACCCAGCUUCCCUGGGAGAUCCUACUUUGAUUUCCGAUCCUCACCCCACCAGCUGAGCUUGCAUUCCUCUUUACAGUCUCUCAAUGCACCGGGAUGCAAUUUUGAGACACAAUCUGCACCUUACUCUCAAUUAGUUGACAUUAAAAAGCUGUUGGCAGGUAUGGAAUAACCUUAUUCUGUUACCAAAUAGCAAAGACCAAAGUGCAUGUGAGGUGUCUCACAGGUUCAAUAAAUCAGCAAUUACAUCUCUCGAGUGUGAUAUUUAUAGGUGGCAUUUAGAACUUGGGGCGUUACAAUGUGUACAAAGACAUCAUUCUAUCUGCACCUAAUGUCCAAAAUUCCUACUGCUCCAGCAAAAUUUCUGUUGUGUUAGUUUCAGGAGUAGCACGCAAACUGUGUUUUUUAAGUUAUGCAGAC
rnacentral:sRNA from 1 species